rnacentral:rRNA from 1 species
GUCUACGGCCAUGCCACCCUGAACAAGCCCUAUCCCAUCUGAUCUCGGAAGCUAAGCAGGGUCAGGCCUGAGACUCUCUUAGACAGAAUCUAGCAGGGCAGGAAGCCCGUGGACA